rnacentral:piRNA from 1 species
UGUACUUAUCAGCCAAGACCUACUUGAAC